GGGUGAGUAAUGCAUAGGAAUCUGCCCGAUAGUGGGGGAUAACCUGGGGAAACCCAGGCUAAUACCGCAUACGUCCUACGGGAGAAAGGGGGCUCCGGCUCCCGCUAUGGGAUGAGCCUAUGUCGGAUUAGCUAGUUGGUGAGGUAACGGCUCACCAAGGCCACGAUCCGUAGCUGGUCUGAGAGGAUGAUCAGCCACAUCGGGACUGAGACACGGCCCGAACUCCUACGGGAGGCAGCAGUGGGGAAUAUUGGACAAUGGGGGAAACCCUGAUCCAGCCAUGCCGCGUGUGUGAAGAAGGCCCUCGGGUUGUAAAGCACUUUCAGCGAGGAAGAACGCCUAGCGGUUAAUACCCGCUAGGAAAGACAUCACUCGCAGAAGAAGCACCGGCUAACUCCGUGCCAGCAGCCGCGGUAAUACGGAGGGUGCAAGCGUUAAUCGGAAUUACUGGGCGUAAAGCGCGCGUAGGUGGCUUGAUAAGCCGGUUGUGAAAGCCCCGGGCUCAACCUGGGAACGGCAUCCGGAACUGUCAAGCUAGAGUGCAGGAGAGGAAGGUAGAAUUCCCGGUGUAGCGGUGAAAUGCGUAGAGAUCGGGAGGAAUACCAGUGGCGAAGGCGGCCUUCUGGACUGACACUGACACUGAGGUGCGAAAGCGUGGGUAGCAAACAGGAUUAGAUACCCUGGUAGUCCACGCCGUAAACGAUGUCGACCAGCCGUUGGGUGCCUAGCGCACUUUGUGGCGAAGU
rnacentral:rRNA from 1 species